GAUAAAGCGAUGAAAAGAUAAGUAAGUUUGCAUGUAGCGUUUUAGAGAGUCCUGUAGCUGAAAAUGGAUCGUGAUGGCAAACUGAAAGUAACUUUGAGCUAUAUGGUGAAUGAUUAGUAGCUUAUAUUGGUGACACCCAUUAGCGUGUUAGCGUAUCGUAAUUUUUACCGUACGUGAAGUGACUGUGAGAUUUUUAGCAGAAAAAAUAUUUACAGUAAUAUAGGUGGUACCGUGCUGACAGCACCCUUGAU
rnacentral:ncRNA from 1 species